GACUUUAGCACAGUGGCAGAACACCCGCCUCCCAUGCAGAAGGUCCCAGGUUCAAUCCCUGCCUUCUCCG